rnacentral:lncRNA from 1 species
UAUUACAAAUUUAAUUAUUUGUCUUAAAUAUUAAUUAUAAAUUUAAUGUAAAUUUAAAAUUUAAAACUUAAAUUAGAAUUUUAAAUAUAAAAAUUACGUGCGUAAGUUGUUUGUUUAUAUUUUUCACUUCUUUAUUUAUUUAUAAUUAUUAUUUACCAUCACAAAUAUAUCUCUCUAAAAAUCAAAAUAGUAUAAUAUAAGAGAGAUAAAAAUAUUAAAAACUAAUCAAGAUUAAAUAUUUAAGCUAUGGUUAACUAAAAUUUUUUAACAGAUUCUAACGGAAGAGAUAUAUUUAAAAAUAUUAAGGCUUAGUUUGGUAUUGAGACCUAUCUAACGCUAUUAGACUAAAUGGAGUUGAGGAAAAAUAAAAAUCAUAUAGCGUUAUGCUUCUGCGUUCUCCGAUGAGACCGUAGCCAGAGAAUCGCAGCUCAUCGCGAUAUGCGGAAUGCAAUAUUAUGUACCGAAAACAAACCGGGUAGUUUUCCAACAUACUUUUUCACCGUACGUAAAGCAAUCUCUCCACAAUUCCAUACGAACCCUAAGUAAGUUUUUUACAGAAGCAAUAUAUAAUAAAAUUUAAACAUUGAGGAUAUA